GGAGUUAGCCGGUGCUUCUUCUGCGAGUAACGUCACAGAUGUAAGGUAUUAACUUACACCCUUUCCUCCUCGCUGAAAGUGCUUUACAACCCGAAGGCCUUCUUCACACACGCGGCAUGGCUGCAUCAGGGUUUCCCCCAUUGUGCAAUAUUCCCCACUGCUGCCUCCCGUAGGAGUCUGGGCCGUGUCUCAGUCCCAGUGUGGCUGAUCAUCCUCUCAGACCAGCUAGGGAUCGUCGCCUAGGUGAGCCUUUACCUCACCUACUAGCUAAUCCCACCUGGGCUUAUCCAUCAGCGCAAGGCCCGAAGGUCCCCUGCUUUCCCCCGUAGGGCGUAUGCGGUAUUAGCAGUCGUUUCCAACUGUUAUCCCCCACAAAUGGGCAAAUUCCCAGGCAUUACUCACCCGUCCGCCGCUCGUCAUCUUCAAAGCAAGCUUUUGAAAUGUUACCGCUCGACUUGCAUGUGUUAGGCCUGCCGCCAGCGUUCGUCCUGAGCCAUAAUCAAACUCUGA
rnacentral:rRNA from 1 species